GCCGAGCUUUUUGCCGGAAGGCACCAUCUUGGAAGCCGCCUUUGCCGCUUGCGCCCAGUGUAAAACUUCUCAACACUUCUAUUACGGAACAAUUAGUACUACUUGCCCGGGGGUGACGUUUUUCAGAUGCGCUGCCAACAGAACGACCUGUGUGAGGGCAUCACGCAAGCAUGACGUUCUGAAAAGAAGUCUGCAGCAAGAGCCCGGGCCCUGCGCAGCCGCCGACCCGCUACCCUGUCGCCCAGGGCAAGCUGGUGCCAGCGCUCCCAGUGUCGCCUGGAUGACAUAACGACAGAGUUCUUUAAAACUGUGUCCUCUUUUUACGAUUUAACCAAAAACUGUGAGACAGCUUUAAUCAGAAAAUAGAUUGCUUAUUGAAUAAAUACAUUAAUCAGGA